rnacentral:rRNA from 1 species
GAUGAACGCUGGCGGCGUGCCUAAUACAUGCAAGUCGAGCGAAUGGAUUAAGAGCUUGCUCUUAUGAAGUUAGCGGCGGACGGGUGAGUAACACGUGGGUAACCUGCCCAUAAGACUGGGAUAACUCCGGGAAACCGGGGCUAAUACCGGAUAACAUUUUGAACCGCAUGGUUCGAAGUUGAAAGGAGGCUCCGGCUGUCACUUAUGGAUGGAACCGCGUCGCAUUAGCUAGUUGGUGAGGUAACGGCUCACCAAGGCAACGAGGCGUAGCAGACCUGAGAGGGUGAUCGGCCACACUGGGACUGAGACACGGCCCAGACUCCUACGGGAGGCAGCAGUAGGGAAUCUUCCGCAAUGGACGAAAGUCAGACGGAGCAACGCCGCGUGAGUGAUGAAGGCUUUCGGGUCGUAAAACUCUGUUGUUAGGGAAGAACAAGUGCUAGUUGAAUAAGCUGGCACCUUGACGGUACCUAACCAGAAAGCCACGGCUAACUACGUGCCAGCAGCCGCCGUAA